rfam:Medicago truncatula strain A17 chromosome 1, whole genome shotgun sequence.
AUGACAUUGGCCAAUCACAAUGUCACAAUGCUUGUGAAAGAGAGAAAAACACAAGCAUUGUGACAUUGUGAUUGGUCAAUGUCAU